rnacentral:rRNA from 1 species
AGUGAACGCUGGCGGUAGGCCUAACACAUGCCAGUCGAACGGCAGCACAGUAAGAGCUUGCUCUUACGGGUGGCGAGUGGCGGACGGGUGAGGAAUACAUCGGAAUCUACUUUUUCGUGGGGGAUAACGUAGGGAAACUUACGCUAAUACCGCAUACGACCUACGGGUGAAAGCAGGGGAUCUUCGGACCUUGCGCGAUUGAAUGAGCCGAUGUCGGAUUAGCUAGUUGGCGGGGUAAAGGCCCACCAAGGCGACGAUCCGUAGCUGGUCUGAGAGGAUGAUCAGCCACACUGGAACUGAGACACGGUCCAGACUCCUACGGGAGGCAGCAGUGGGGAAUAUUGGACAAUGGGCGCAAGCCUGAUCCAGCCAUACCGCGUGGGUGAAGAAGGCCUUCGGGUUGUAAAGCCCUUUUGUUGGGAAAGAAAAGCAGCAGGUUAAUACCCCGCUGUUCUGACGGUACCCAAAGUAUAAGCACCGGCUAACUUCGUG